rnacentral:rRNA from 1 species
UACGUAGGGAGCAAGCGUUGCCCGGAAUCAUUGGGCGUAAAGCGCGCGUAGGCGGGCCGGUAAGUCAGUGGUGAAAGUCAAAGGCUCAACCUUUGAAUGGCGAUGGAUACUGCCGGGCUAGAGUCCGGAAGAGGCGAGUGGAAUUCCUGGUGUAGCGGUGGAAUGCGCAGAUAUCAGGAGGAACACCAAUAGCGAAGGCAGCUCGCUGGGACGGUACUGACGCUGAGGAACGAAAGCCAGGGGAGCGAACGGG